rnacentral:lncRNA from 1 species
CUUUUUUUAAUUUAAAGAGUCAUUUUUAAAGUUUAGAAUUUAUUUACUUUUCUAGCACUGAAUAUUGUUCUGAGCUGGUUUGUGAGUCCUUGUGUCUCUCCUCAGGCGGGAGUGCAGCCGCUCAAAAUCCAUCGCCCUGGAAAGAACAGGGAGGCUAAGUGAAGCUCUGAAAGACAGAGCCUUCAGCACACCCAAAGACAC